AUUGAACGCUGGCGGCAGGCCUAACACAUGCAAGUCGAGCGAGCGGCGGACGGGUGAGUAAUGUAUGGGGACUGCCCGCUAGAGGGGGAUAACUACUGGAAACGGUAGCUAAUACCGCAUACUAUCGGAUAACCCAUAUGGGAUUAGCUAGUAGGUGAGGUAAUGGACCACCUAGGCGACGAACCAUAGCUGGUCUGCGCGAAUGAUCAGCCACACUGGGACGGAGACGCGGCCCAGACUCCAACGGAGGCUGCGUUGGGGAAUAUUGCACAGUGGGGUCAAGCCUGAUGCAGCCAUGCCGCGUGUAUGAAGAAGGCCCUAGGGUUGUAAAGUACUAUCAGUCGGGAGGCGUUACCGUCAGAAGAAGCACCGGCUAACUCCGUGCAAGCAGCCGCGGUAAUUG
rnacentral:rRNA from 1 species